rfam:Fonticula alba strain ATCC 38817 mitochondrial scaffold supercont2.214, whole genome shotgun sequence.
GCCUUCUUCGUCUAGAGGUCAGGACAUUACCUUUUCAUGGUAAAUACAUGGGUUCGAAUCCCAUAGAGGGUG